CCGGGUACAACGCGAUGCGACACGGUGACGUGGGGCGGAUCGCUGAAAACCGGUCUCAGUUCGGAUCGCAGUCUGCAACUCGACUGCGUGAAGGCGGAGUCGCUAGUAAUCGCGGAUCAGCAACGCCGCGGUGAAUGCGUUCCCGGGCCUUGUACACACCGCCCGUCAAGUCAUGAAAGUGGGUAGCACCCGAAGCCGGUGGCCCGACCCUCGUGGGGGGGAGCCGUCUAAGGUGAGACUCGUGAUUGGGACUAAGUCGUAACAAGGUACC
rnacentral:rRNA from 1 species